UCCCUUUUACAUUUUUCUCAAGUCGUUGCAGAAACACCAAAUCAGCACACUGUCUUACUCCUCUCUUCCUCAUUUUGGCACUCUUCUCUGUUUGAUGGAGAGAUGAGACGAGAAAAGAGACACAGACUUCACAGUAGAAGUUCGAUAUCAGUUGCCAUGUGCCAAACAAAACUGGAAGACUAUUUGGCGAGAGAGAAAAGGAGGAGAGACAAAAGAAGAGAGAAGUGAACCGAAGAGUGAAAAGGAGGGGAUAAGGAGGAGGAGAGAGGAGCAGUUCACGCCCACACAUUCAUCCAUAUCCAAAGCCUGGCUUAUGGACAUGUUUCUACUGCGUUAGUCUCUGCUAUGCAAAUAGUGUAUUGACUUGAGCAGAAUCUCUGUUGUUUUAUUGUUACUGUGCUGCAUUGCUUUCUCUAUGUCCUUAACAAGGGCUCCAAGCCAAGGUCAUUGUGUUGUUUAGCCUAAUGAUUGUAUAAGAAUAGUUCUCCUGUCUCCUUCUUGCUUCCCCGGUUCUGUGUCUUGUUCUCUCCCUCUUAAAGAUCCCGAGGUUGCUGAAGGAGGAGCAGGGGGUAUAGGUAUUUGUUUACGUUUUAGUCCCCCGUGGAAAUUGAACCCACGGCCCUGGCGUUGCAGGCGCCAUGCUGUAGCAACUGAGCCACAAGCUACCUAAUCUAAUGAUUAGGUCCCUAAUGUUUAGUAAUGAGGCAUUUUUUUGUGUGUGUUUUGUGUGUUUCUGUUUUGUUUUUGUUUCGAGGUUUGUGGUGGAACCCAACUCUGUCUGCUGGAUCUCCUGUUUGGUAGUCCGCUUGUUGCAGGAGGCCAGGGGGCAUAGCUGGGAGGAUCGUCAGGUCUGUUCUCACCAUACAACACCCUCUCCACUCAUCCACACGCUCCAUACACUACCGAUCCUACCGAUGUCCCCAGCUUCUGUCAUUUUUUCCAAAUGUAUUAUUAUUUCGUUUAAUACGUUUCUUCCUUUUCACGUUUAAGUCAUGCGUGGUCCCCCUUUGUUGUUACGAACUACGAGCCAGGUUGUAACAUUAUCUUUACAACUUAUUUGUUACAGACAGAGAAUAACAUUUAAUGCAGCACUCGUGCAGUGAGCGAGGGUUUCCCUUGAUUUGCCUUCACUCGGCCUACGUACUCAGUGCCCCAGAGAGACCAACCAAGUCACGCUGCAGUAAAAACCAUCACAUGAACCCUCUGCAGAGAGAAGAGAAUAGAAUUCAUGAGCUUAGGAAUAGAAUUUUUACAAUUUGAAUUGUACCUGCAGGCUGAUUUCCGAACAGGGCCAGAGGAUUGGAUUUGUAGAUUUAAAGAGAUGUCAUCCAACAAAUAUAAAAGCAGAAACUACAUGUGUAACUGGCUUUGGGGGGGAGGAGAGAGAGGAAGAGAGCGGUGGAACAUGAACAUACAAGAUUAUCGAGGAGUAAAGAACAAAGCUCAGGCCAGGUUCAGCUGUAAUUGAACAUGGGAAAAACUGGUCCAGGAAUAAUCAUUUUGCGAGCCAUUGUCACACGAGGAAGAUAGUGUUGGGCACAACUUGCACCAACAUACAAAGGUACAUUUUAGUAGACGCUCUUAUCCAGGGCGACUUACAGUAGUGAAUGCAUACAUUUCAUAAAUUUUUUCUCCAUACUGGUCCCCCGUGGGAAUCGAACCCACAACCCUGGCGUUGCAAACACCAUGCUCUACCAACUGAGCCAUACGGGACAAGGUGUUGCAGAGGCUUGGGGAGGAAAAGGUGUAUAUGUGCUGUUGUCUAGAAUCGGCCCAUAUCAAAUCUUUUAUCAGGAUCUCCACAGAACUGGUCCAAAUAUGGAGCUGGAAAGUGAGACCAUCAAUGCCUACAUGUUCCAUCUGGUGCAGAAUUUUAAUAGGCAGUCAACCGAGCAAACCUUCUACAUUGACACCUUUGAAAUUACUGGCAUUUGGGGGAGCAAGAAAUCAAAACUUACGAUUGAUCCAAUGAUGUACAAGUACAUUAUUGGCAUCAUCAAUGAACACAACCACUGGACUGUGACGGUUAUGCUGCCAUCCAAAAAGAGGGCUCUGUUCCUCGACCCAAUGUGGGAAAAGUUCCAGAAAGAUAAAUAGAUGCCUGGGGGUGACAAGAUCAUUCCUGAGAGAGAAGGGGUGUAAUAUCUCCAGAUGGGCGUGUGGUACCCUUCCUCACCCAUGCCAACAAGAUGUUACUUCUUGUGGGGUCUUUGCCUUGAAAUUUGCUGAAUGUGUUCUGAAGGAGAAGUCGAUUGUCUUUUCAAAUACGGACAAAGAUGAUAACAUCAUGAGAGAAGAAAUAGCAGUCACUCUCCUCCAAAACACUGAUGACCUGAGCCAACUGUACCACUUCUGUGGGGAGGUGGACAAUAAUGAGGAAGACACUAACUGGAUUUCUUGUGACCGCUGCCCACGAUGGUUCCACCAGUCCUGUAUGAAAACCAUCCCAUCAUUGGAG
rnacentral:lncRNA from 1 species